rnacentral:rRNA from 1 species
GCUCCAAUAGCGUAUAUUAAAGUUGUUGCAGUUAAAAAGCUCGUAGUUCAACUUCUGCCCCGGGGCCGAGAGGCGACUCGGAGGUCCGGGGCAUCCGUCCGCACCACGCUUCGACGUGAGGGCGGGCAGUUUACCUUGAGAAAAUUAGAGUGUUCAAGGCAGGCGUAGCCAGAAUACAUUAGCAUGGAAUAAUGGAAGAG